rnacentral:lncRNA from 1 species
ACUAAUGUCAAAUUAUGUUAUGUAUGAAUAAGAGUGUCACUUACCAUAAGGUCAAUUAAUGUCAUAUUAUCUACUAUAAUCAUGCCAAAACAAAAGUUCCACAGACAAUAAGGUCAACUAAUGUCAAAACAUACAGUAUAGAUGACUACGAGUGUCACCGACUAUAAAGUCAACUAAUGUCAAAUCUAUUACAAGUGUCACCGACUAUAAAAUCAACUAACAUUA